GGAAUCGAGGGCAUUUCUGCCUCUGCUGAAGCAAGUUCACAUUUAAUAAUCAAAUUCUUGGCAGGAAUAUUUCUGCAGCCUGUGUCAGUGGAGCAUGUACGAGCUUAGAAAGGAAGUUUAUAUAAUUAUCUCAUUAUCUAAUUUCAAUAAUAAAAUAAUUGAGUUGCCUAAAUGCCUAUCAGUGGCAAACCAAUGGGAACAGUGGGUCUGUGGAUGUGGAGAGAAACCCAAACUCAUCAGUGUGAUGGAAUCUGCCUGAUCUCUGAACUGCUCUCCUUCCUGGCCAAUAGGAAGAAGAUGGUUUGUACUGGUGAAUCUCUGCUGAGGGUGGAAGGAGCCAAGAACUUCCAUAACUGCCCCUACAAAGGAUUCCCACAGAGCUUUGUUUUGUGUGACUGUGGAAAAAGAGGUGGAUUUGUGUUGCCUGUAAGCUCAUCCCAUCACUGCUGAGCGCUUUGUUUAUCCAUUCUCCAGGAAAGAUGCACUGUGCUGUCAUGUUUGAUUGUUAGGAGGUUUUAUGAGGUCUCUGCUGGAAUAACUUUAAGGUUGUUCUGUCCUGAGGCAGGAGCACCAAGGCUCUCCUGCUCUCGCUGGGGCGUGUGGAACACUGAGCUGCCAUGAACUGAACUCUUCAGCGUGCAGAGAACUGUCCCAGUGAGCAGAGCUGUGCUCAUUUACUCCCUGCAGAGAAAUCACAUUUGCUCCCACAGCAUUUUCUCUUGGGAGGAGCAGUUAUUGGCUUGUGUCACAAGCAUCCUGUCUCUCCUCGGUGAUUUAUUCCUCCAGGCACACACGGAUCCCUUUCACCGCUCAGGGAUCCAAAUUCCACUCCCAUCCACUGCAGGAGUGUGUGGGGCUGUGAGCACAGAAAUUGCUCUUGGGUAUCAGUUCCAGUUCAUCUGGUUUUGUUUCUGGUGCAGUGCUGCAGAGUGUGGUGUGUGUGUACAAACACACACGUGCUUGCAGGGAUAAAAGGCCUCAGCAGCCUCCUGUAUCCAUUAGCUGACCCAAAUUCUGCCCAGACUUGCAGAGCCUGUCAGGAUAACCAGAAUAGCAGUAGAUAAUCAGAAUGGCAAAAUUCCCCUUCUUCUUUUACCUGCUGCAGCUGGUUUGAGGGCAGUAUAUUUCUAUAAGUAUUUUAUAUAUAAAUAAUAGUCAGUAUUCUAUUAGCCUGUACAUUAUUAUGCAUAGGGUAACAUUUUUCUUGUUUUAAGGGUGAAUAAAACAAUCAAAUUCAAGACA
rnacentral:lncRNA from 1 species